UGGGGAAUAUUGGACAAUGGGCGAAAGCCUGAUCCAGCCAUGCCGCGUGUGUGAAGAAGGUCUUCGGAUUGUAAAGCACUUUAAGUUGGGAGGAAGGGCAGUAAGCGAAUACCUUGCUGUUUUGACGUUACCGACAGAAUAAGCACCGGCUAACUCUGUGCCAGCAGCCGCGGUAAUACAGAGGGUGCAAGCGUUAAUCGGAAUUACUGGGCGUAAAGCGCGCGUAGGUGGUUCGUUAAGUUGAAUGUGAAAGCCCCGGGCUCAACCUGGGAACUGCAUCCAAAACUGGCGAGCUAGAGUAGGGCAGAGGGUGGUGGAAUUUCCUGUGUAGCGGUGAAAUGCGUAGAUAUAGGAAGGAACACCAGUGGCGAAGGCGACCACCUGGGCUCAUACUGACACUGAGGUGAGAAAGCGUGGGGAGCAAACAGG
rnacentral:rRNA from 1 species